rnacentral:rRNA from 1 species
GACGAACGCUGGCGGCGUGCUUAACACAUGCAAGUCGAACGGAAAGGCCCUGCUUUUGUGGGGUGCUCGAGUGGCGAACGGGUGAGUAACACGUGAGUAACCUGCCCUUGACUUUGGGAUAACUUCAGGAAACUGGGGCUAAUACCGGAUAGGAGCUCCUGCUGCAUGGUGGGGGUUGGAAAGUUUCGGCGGUUGGGGAUGGACUCGCGGCUUAUCAGCUUGUUGGUGGGGUAGUGGCUUACCAAGGCUUUGACGGGUAGCCGGCCUGAGAGGGUGACCGGCCACAUUGGGACUGAGAUACGGCCCAGACUCCUACGGGAGGCAGCAGUGGGGAAUAUUGCACAAUGGGCGGAAGCCUGAUGCAGCAACGCCGCGUGCGGGAUGACGGCCUUCGGGUUGUAAACCGCUUUCGCCUGUGACGAAGCGUGAGUGACGGUAAUGGGUAAAGAAGCACCGGCUAACUACGUGCCAGCAGCCGCGGUGAUACGUAGGGUGCGAGCGUUGUCCGGAUUUAUUGGGCGUAAAGGGCUCGUAGGUGGUUGAUCGCGUCGGAAGUGUAAUCUUGGGGCUUAACCCUGAGCGUGCUUUCGAUACGGGUUGACUUGAGGGAGGUAGGGGAGAAUGGAAUUCCUGGUGGAGCGGUGGAAUGCGCAGAUAUCAGGAGGAACACCAGUGGCGAAGGCGGUUCUCUGGGCCUUUCCUGACGCUGAGGAGCGAAAGCGUGGGGAGCGAACAGGCUUAGAUACCCUGGUAGUCCACGCUGUAAACGGUGGGUACUAGGUGUGGGGUCCAUUCCACGGGUUCCGUGCCGUAGCUAACGCUUUAAGUACCCCGCCUGGGGAGUACGGCCGCAAGGCUAAAACUCAAAGGAAUUGACGGGGCCCCGCACAAGCGGCGGAGCAUGCGGAUUAAUUCGAUGCAACGCGUAGAACCUUACCUGGGUUUGACAUGGAUCGGGAGUGCCCAGAGAUGGGUGUGCCUCUUUUGGGGUCGGUUCACAGGUGGUGCAUGGCUGUCGUCAGCUCGUGUCGUGAGAUGUUGGGUUAAGUCCCGCAACGAGCGCAACCCUUGUUCACUGUUGCCAGCACGUUAUGGUGGGGACUCAGUGGAGACCGCCGGGGUCAACUCGGAGGAAGGUGGGGAUGACGUCAAGUCAUCAUGCCCCUUAUGUCCAGGGCUUCACGCAUGCUACAAUGGCUGGUACAGAGAGUGGCGAGCCUGUGAGGGUGAGCGAAUCUCGGAAAGCCGGUCUCAGUUCGGAUUGGGGUCUGCAACUCGACCUCAUGAAGUCGGAGUCGCUAGUAAUCGCAGAUCAGCAACGCUGCGGUGAAUACGUUCCCGGG